rnacentral:tRNA from 1 species
CGGUUAGCUCAGUUGGUUAGAGCGCUUGCUUUACACGCAAGAGGUCACUGGUUCGAAUCCAGUACUGCC